UGGCGAUGAUUAAAUUGGAUUUAUCCGCGCUUCUGAGAGCAUUUCUCUGAUGCAAAAUUUAAAAAAUGGUUGAAUUUCUUGAUAUGAGCCA